rnacentral:rRNA from 1 species
GUGCCAGCCGCCGCGGUAAUACAGAGGGUGCGAGCGUUGUUCGGAAUUACUGGGCGUAAAGCGCGCGCAAACAGCCUUUUAAGUCUACCCGUGAAAUGCCAAAACUCAACUCCGUGCACGCCGGGGGAUACUGGGAGGCUGGAGACAUGUAGAGGCAAGCGGAAUUCCGGGUGUAGCGGUGGAAUGCGUAGAGAUCCGGAAGAACACCUGAGGCGAAGGCGGCUUGCUGGGCAUGAUCUGACGCUGAGGCGCGAAAGCGUGGGGAGCAAACAGGAUUAGAUACCCCGGUAGUCC